AUUCCUUGUGUAGCUCAGGAGAGCAUU
rnacentral:piRNA from 1 species